AGCAGCCGCGGUAAUUCCAGCUCCAAUAGCGUAUAUUAAAGUUGUUGCAGUUAAAAGCCCGUAGUUGAAUUUCGGGAUCAAUAUAUUGGUCAUGCUUAGGUAUGUACUGGUAUUAUUGAUUUCUCCCUUCUGAAGAACCAUGAUGUCAUUAAUUUGAUGUCGUGGGGAAUCAGGACUGUUUGAAAAAUUGAGUGUUUAAAGCAGGCUUUCGCUUGAAUACAUUAGCAUGGAAUAAUGAAAUAGGACGUUUGAUUCUAUUUUGUUGGUUUCUAGGAUCGACAUAAUGAUUAAUAGGGAUAGUUGGGGGCAUUAGUAUUCAAUUGUCGGAGGUGAAAUUCUUGGAUUUAUUGAAGACUAACUACUG
rnacentral:rRNA from 1 species